CUUGCAGCUAUAUAUUUCGUUUCAAUCGUUGACAGGGACAAACACUUUUCUAUCUUUGACUUAUUGUUAGCCAGCGAAUAACAUAAUACUCUAGUACAAGGUCUAUGUCUUGAUAUCUCUUGCAAAAUCAGCAUUGCCUUAUAAAUAGCGAAAUAUUCAUUUUACAUUCUGCCAAUUUUGCUCAGUUUUGAAUGUUCCACAUUUUGAGCUACUAUAACUAAAUUAGAAAUUAUUGGAAGAUGAAACGUUUGAAUAUAUUAGUCAGUAGUAGAUAAAUAGGCAGAAGAAAUAAUCAAACACAGUAUGUGUGUGUGAGAUAUGUGCGCUAAAAAUAAAAAUCUAAUUAUCGAUUUUGAUGACCGAAAGUCAUACAUGCAAUUGAGUCACAAACGAUUUAGAAUUGAGAAGAAGAAUGAAAACCCCAAAAAACUCUUCAGUGCAGAAACUUGGGCAUUGUUUCUUCUUUUUACUGUUACGCGCAUUUAUUUUGUUCAUCGUGUUUCUUUCAUUGUUC